rnacentral:rRNA from 1 species
GACGAACGCUGGCGGCGUGCUUAACACAUGCAAGUCGAACGGAAAGGCCCUGCUUUUGUGGGGUGCUCGAGUGGCGAACGGGUGAGUAACACGUGAGUAACCUGCCCCUGACUUUGGGAUAACUUCAGGAAACUGGGGCUAAUACCGGAUAGGAGCUCCUGCUGCAUGGUGGGGGUUGGAAAGUUUCGGCGGUUGGGGAUGGACUCGCGGCUUAUCAGCUUGUUGGUGGGGUAGUGGCUUACCAAGGCUUUGACGGGUAGCCGGCCUGAGAGGGUGACCAGCCACAUUGGGACUGAGAUACGGCCCAGACUCCUACGGGAGGCAGCAGUGGGGAAUAUUGCACAAUGGGCGGAAGCCUGAUGCAGCAACGCCGCGUGCGGGAUGACGGCCUUCGGGUUGUAAACCGCUUUCGCCUGUGACGAAGCGUGAGUGACGGUAAUGGGUAAAGAAGCACCGGCUAACUACGUG